GCCUGGGUGGCUCAGUCGGUUGAGCGUCUGACUUCGGCUCAGGUCAUGAUUUCACAGUUCCUGAGUUCGAGCCUCGCAUCGGGCU
rnacentral:tRNA from 1 species